UACGCAGACGUCUGUGUCUGAAUGAAGGAGUGAACACAUAAGCAGGCCCAUCAGGAGUUCCACACGAAAAGGUGCAGAGGCAGGAGAUAGCAUCAGCUCAGUCUCCUGUGGUGACACUCUCCCAUGCAGCUGAGCAGAGAAGACUUCCUCUCCUCAGACCACGCAGCUGGUCCUGAGCAGAGGCAGAGGAACAUCCACGGCAGCUUCUUCAGCCUCCUGACAACACUGCGCCUGCCCCUCUCUUCCUCUGAGCAGCCUCUUAGCUCUGACAGAUACCUUCCCGGGAAAGGCCUUCCUGGGACGAGGUGGCUUGAGGAGGCCUCAGCACAGGAAAAGGCUCACCCGCAAAGAGAGGGCACGAGUAGGGUGGGGUGCUGAGUGAGCUGUGUCUCGGGUCCCCUGCAGGGACACACACAGGCUGGUUAUCUCGGGUCCCCUGUAGGGACACACACAGGCAGGUCCAAGGAGCAGAAAACCGUGUGUACUUUCUCAUAUGUGAUAAGACAAGAUGAUACGACAGCCCUGAGGCUACGGCCAAUCCCCACAGCCAGGGCUCGGGGUCCCUCACUGCAGGAGGCCUGUACCCCAGUCUUGAAGCCUUUCCCUGGAAAACCCUAGGCUGCACCCUCCCACUGGGCUCCCCAGCGUGCCAGGCUGCAAACAGGGCUGACUUCGGAAUUGACCAGAGUGGCCCCACCAGCAAAUCCUGGAUCCGGGGUGAGGAAGGAUCCAGGCCCUCACCUGGCUGCUUUUCUGGUCACUGAGCACAAGGAACAGGGAUCCCCCCUCACACCUGGCACCCAGCAGAACUGCUCAGCGCAGCCGCCUGCUGAGGUUCCUCUGGCUGCCCUGCACACAGGGCUGCUGCAGAAACGGCUGUGAGCAGAUGCUUCCUUUAAACACGGACGGCCGCCCACAGGAUCCACAGAUGGCAACAAUGACAGGGCCCAGCCCAGAACCCAGUGGCAGCUGACCCCAGAGACCUGGCCUGGGCCGAUGACGGGCUCAACAUCUCCAUGAGACAGAAGCGCCUUCCAUCUGCCCCACUGCCCAAGCCGGGACCCGUCACUCAUCACAUCCCCUCAGAGCUGAUCAGAGCUUGCCUUGCUGGGGAUAUUGUGAGACCCCCUCACCUCCAACCUCCCAUGCUCCAGUGCACCCCACAAAGCCCUGCACUGGUACCGUCAUCCCACUGCCCCCUAACAAUUAUGGAUGGGUCUGUGUAAAUGCAUCCGCCAGGGGCACAAAUAAACGGAUGAAGGUCUGACACCACCUCCA